AUCACUUCUUGGCCUUUUAGCUAAGAUCAAGUGUAGUAUCUGUUCUUAUCAGUUUAAUAUUACUUAUUUAGUCAUUGAACAAAAAUUUAAUUUAAGCCUACUGUGUACUGAGAACUAUA
ensembl:snRNA U2 U2 spliceosomal RNA